UGUUACCUACGGGGGGCAGCAGUGGGGAAUAUUGCACAAUGGGGGAAACCCUGAUGCAGCGACGCCGCGUGAAGGAAGAAGUAUUUCGGUAUGUAAAGCUCUAUCAGCAGGGAAGAAAGAAAUGACGGUACCUGACUAAGAAGCCCCGGCUAACUACGUGCCAGCAGCCGCGGUAAUACGUAGGGGGCAAGCGUUAUCCGGAUUUACUGGGUGUAAAGGGAGCGUAGACGGCGAUGCAAGUCUGAAGUGAAAGGCGGGGACCCAACCCCCGGACUGCUUUGGAAACUGUAUAGCUGGAGUGCAGG
rnacentral:rRNA from 1 species